CGCGGUGGGUCUUUCGCCUGAUUUGUAGUUUAACGGAGCGUACUGCGCAGUCGUGGCGUCAACAUUAGUUUUACGUAAUAGAAAUUAGGUCAAAGACUUCAAGCUCCCGAAUCAGCAGGCAGAAGUCAACUUUCCUUUGACCAACAUCAUCUCUGGGAUAAUAGCUACAGUGAAUAGGACUGGGGUGGUAUCAGCGCCCCCAUUUCCUCAUCAGACCACUGCUACCUCUUGGACAAGAACACAGCACUAAUGUCAGCAGAGAAGAUGGAGACCACAGAAAGUGUGCCAAAUGGAGAAGGACCUGUGUAUGAGGAGAAAGAGGACAC